GCGACGCUUUCACGUGCGUUCGGACGCCGGGGCGAUAGGACAACGGAAGCAACGGUGGCUGCCCCGAUGCUUCCAUGGCAGGCCGCGGCCCGCUUCCUCGCAGGAAGCAGCAACGGUGGCGUGCGCUCUUCCGUGGUUCUCGGCUGCAAGCUACUGCUGGGUGACGCCGGGACUUCGCUGAAGGCUGCGCCGUUCGGGUACUGCUGCCGGCUGUGUCGCGGUUUCUCCCAAUACCAGGCAGGGCAGGUCGUGCAGCACUUCAGGUCGUGCAGACAUGAAGAGACUCUGGUUCAUCGGAGUUGCACCGGUGACAGCCACAUUGGCUGGAGGCAGCCACCUGACGGUCGUCGCCGCCCUCGUGAAGUUAUCAGUCCUGUUGCACUACCAUCCACCUCAUGGCUACGCCGUUGACCUGAUUACUGUACACGAUCGCCACAAUACAGCAGCCAGGCAACGCAUCACCACUUGGAUCUCCUGGGAGACAUGGGGGUAUGCCCUCCGCCUAGAGGAGCUGACUCGGUCACUGGCUUUUCAGUGACCGGGUUCGUGCGUUCGCCGGAUGUCGCCUGUGCCCUGAAUGCCCGCGCAGAAAAGCCACCGAGUCCACUCAAGAUCCACGGACGAGGCCAGCCGGUCGGCGGCCACGACAGCCGGUCGGCGGCCACGACAGCCACAGUGGAGAGCGCACAGACUUAACUGGCCGUGGGGCUAGGCGACACAAACCAUUGCCACCGAGAGGUGCCGGCAGCGACGGCUAAUGAACACUCCUUCGGGGCUUGAACAUCUUGGAUACUCCACGUCGAGAAUUGCACUACGCACCAGGGGGGUGGGGGCGGUAUUCUGUAAGAGUCCACUUAGUGGACAUGUCUGUUACAUCUGCUGUUGAAGUUUUGAUUGACUGGGCUGGUCUGCGCGUCCGGAGCAGUGAGGUGCCACAGGCCCUGAGCACUACAGCAGCAGACGAAAUGGACAUGUCCCUAGAUGGACUCUUACAGAAUAUCUCCCCAGAUGUGUUUCGACCGUGCUGCCACCAGUCGCCACCGUGCCCCAAUCUCUCGCGUUUAUAACAACGCAGUGUCGGGCACGGUUCUUGCUUCCCCAGCUUUGGGGGACGUGUACUUAUGCGUGAUUUGUGCGAUUAUUUCCGUAAGCGAUUAUGGUUCGCGCCUAUUUCGAAUUGUAGCGUACUUAUAUGCACGCAAUUAUUUCGUCUCGCAUGUAUUAAUAUAUGGGCUAUUAUUAUCGUUGAUAAGUAUAUAAUACUAAGUGAUAAGUGUUUAUAUUACUGCGUUAAAUUUAUUCGUUUGGAAGAGUUCCGGAAGGUUUGCCAGAUAAUUCCGUGAAGUCUUCCGAUAUUUCAUUUCAGCUAGCGACCCUCCAAACAACCAUCAGCAAUAGCUCGGCGUCCUCUCAAAGGAACCUUGUUAUAUGUACUACAUUUACUAUAAUCAGGCACACACGUAAUAACCCACAGCCAAUUCGUACGAGGUACGAGGCUAUUGCGCUGCAUCUUCCCACAUGGGACAAUCGUUGGCGUCUACCUUCAUUUGGAGCAUAUUUGCCUAACGAUAUUUAUCUCGCCCGGAAGGUAUUUUUCAAUUUAGCGAUAACGUUAUUGUUUGCUGCUAUAUAAUUUAUGCUAUAUACUUUAUUCUGCUAUAUAAUUCUGCUAUAUAAUUUCUGCUAUAUAAUUUAUUGCGAAGAGUUCUGGAAGAUUUGUUUUUUAGAGGCGACCUUCCAAACAAAUAACAAAUGCCAGAUUAUGUCUUACCAAGAGCAUUAAUGUAGGUUCAUGGUAUGCUUAAGAGGAAUGCCGGCAUCGACUGGAACUUGCACGCAUUCUUGCGAACCGAACUUUUGGGACGUUUUGUGUACGAGAACUCCAACGGUUCUCCGUGGAAGUGUUUUUUUUUCUCUUUUUUUUUGCACAGAGGAACUCUAGCUGCACUUGAGCGCAUGACAUUUUACAAUAGGCGGAAAAAAUUGCCAGUCGCAAACUGCGAACAUUUCUUCUUUGCAUUGAGGGCGAGGCGAUCGGUAAUAAAGGAUGUAUUGGUUUA